GUGGUAAUGCCGGAUGCUCCAGUUGAUCGCAUGGUCUUCUGGGAAAGCCUUUGCGGCAUGGGAUGGGGUCGCGUCCUAUCAGCUUGAUGGCGGGGUAACGGCCCACCAUGGCUUCGACGGGUAGCCGGCCUGAGAGGGCGACCGGCCACAUUGGGACUGAGAUACGGCCCAGACUCCUACGGGAGGCAGCAGUGGGGAAUAUUGCACAAUGGGCGCAAGCCUGAUGCAGCGACGCCGCGUGAGGGAUGGAGGCCUUCGGGUUGUAAACCUCUUUUGUUAGGGAGCAAGGCAUUUUGUGUUGAGUGUACCUUUCGAAUAAGCACCGGCUAACUACGUGCCAGCAGCCGCGGUAAUACGUAGGGUGCAAGCGUUAUCCGGAAUUAUUGGGCGUAAAGGGCUCGUAGGCGGUUCGUCGCGUCCGGUGUGAAAGUCCAUCGCUUAACGGUGGAUCCGCGCCGGGUACGGGCGGGCUUGAGUGCGGUAGGGGAGACUGGAAUUCCCGGUGUAACGGUGGAAUGUGUAGAUAUCGG
rnacentral:rRNA from 1 species